ACUUGUUUUGUUGGUGGUCACCUAACCAUGCUCCAGUCAGUGCAACCAUGUAUCUCCGGUGAUCUGAUCAUAUGCGUGCGUGCGCAUGCAUGGUUAGAUGACCAUCAGCAAACAUGUU
rnacentral:pre_miRNA from 1 species